UGGUCCUUGUGGCAGCACAACCACUUUCCAUCCCACUGCACUCAAGGCAACAUGGAGGUGAAGGAUACGCCUGUCAAUGGUGGUGUCUCCAUCCUUCAUACAGUGAGGGAUGGGAAGCAUUACUAUGAAGUCGAGACUGUUCUUAAGGAUAAGAAAGCCAAGAAAGGAUUUUUUAUGAGGAGAGGAGAUAAACUUCUGAAGAUUAAUGGCUUAGACUUGCAAGAUUUAUCUCCAGAGAUGUUUGCGGAAAAGUUGUCUGAAGGCAGUCCCAUGCUGACAUUGCACCAGCCCAGCCCUGACCACUCUGAGAAGCCACAUCAGACACCAGGUGCCCUCUGUCCAGUCAAGAAGGAAGACUAUGUCCUGGACUUCUGUCUGAACACAUCCAGAGACCCAGACGUUUGUAGUAGUGAUGAAAAUCUCCAGGUGGAAGAUGAUUGUGACCAGGAGGACGACAUCCUGCUGCUGGUGGAGAUGGUGGACACCAACAUGUCUGUAGUGAGAGGAAGGGGCUGUGCCCAUGGGGAGACCUGCGAGGACUGUGGUGGCACCGACUGCAACCUAGAUGAAGUGGUUAUGACGUCCAGAAGGGUCUCCUUAGUGGCGAGGGGCAUUUCUGAUUUUCUACAUGAUAAAAUACAAGAGAACAUUGCCUUGGAGGGUCUUCUGAGUCGUUUGUAUGUCAACCCUGUUGGCGAUCAGACGCGACUGAAAACAAAUCCAGCAAAAAUUACGAUCUACUACUACCAGUCCGACCAUGUGGACGGCUCCUCUAAAGGAGUACCUGUUGUCUUGAACUUCUCGGGGACUGACAAGUUCAUCCGAUGCUCCAGACAUCCAGACAGCCUUGAGGCGAUAAUAAAUGUAACGCCAUACGAAAAGAGCAAACUGAAAUGCAUCUCCAAGGAGGACCACGAAAGCUUGGCCUUUGUCUUCUACAUGAAAGGGGGGCGGGCCAGAGAGCGCAUCUUCGAGUCUGCACACUGUGAGGGGUUUUUCAUUCAUUCCAACAACAGGGCGAUAACAGCAACAAGACAAAAUAUGGAUGAUACCUUCUACUUUAUCAUCCAUGGUAAGUCAUGCUGAUUUGAGAUCUGUUGUUUAACAGGUGACAUUCACACAGAACACAUAUUGUUCUGUCACAAUUAAUAUGACUGUUAUCAUUGCAGUAGUGAGUAGAUAUGGACAUUAUCCUGUGCUUUGAUUUGCAAUAUAGAUAUAAUAUGCCUAGUUUACCUAUAGAUACAGUACAUAUGAUCUAAAUUUCAUCUACAUGUUGUUUUAUGGGAAGUCAGCAGGAACCCUACAUACCUAUUGUUAAUUGUACAAGCUUUUACUACAUUUUACUG